UACACUUGUUUAUGUUUUUGUUUAACUUGUUGACAAAGACUUUUAUAGACAGGUGCAAAAACUAAAUCAUCUUUUCCAACCCAGAACUCAUGGUUUAGUAUGAGUUUUGAUACAUAUAAGAAGGCAUAUU
rnacentral:snoRNA from 1 species